rnacentral:tRNA from 1 species
UCUCGGAUAUCUUAACCAGUAAAGCUUUUGGCGCGUUACCAAAUAGUCCAGGUUCGAGUCCCGGUCUGGGCU